UGCUUUAUUCUUCCACUACGAAUCGGCCGCUUUCUUUCCUCCGUCCGUUUAAGUCCGAAUCACAUUAGCCGCGCCUCUCGCAGCGAGUCCCGGCCUCAGAAACGCACUCUACGAACGACUGGGGGGCUUUCCUCAAAACAAGAAAUCAAACGUGCCUAACCUGUACAUCAAAAGGUCGCGUUCACGCCACGGCACACGCACACACAUACAGACAGACACGGGGGCCAAAACAUGCUCAUCCAGCCCCAGAAUUAAAGGAAAAAAAUAACCUACCUUUUAAACAAUGAGAAGGAAAAAACACAAUCCCCUAUUAAUCGGGCAUCUGAAGAUAUUCUUAGAAGCCUUAAUGUGCUUCUGGAAAAAAACAACAACGGCCGUUUAAAUUGGAAAAAAGAUGGAAAAAGUCGGGAUCUUGUUAAAUGUUAAAGCUUUUAUCACGAAACUACGUAUUGCGGUGUUUAUUAUCUACUGCAGGCACACUUUCUGCUGCACUCGUCCCAGACUGAUGACAUCUUCUGCUGGUAAUUAAAACAAAUCAAGCGGCCCCCUGAUUGUUUUGGUGCCCAAGGACAAUCACACACAGACGGGAGAGAGAGAGAGAGAAAAAAGUGAGCGUUUAAUCGGCAGGGUUCGUCUCUGGGGCUGCGGCGCGAGGGGCGAGGGGGCUUGAGCGCGAGGCGGCCGUGCGCGCCUGCCAUUAUCAUCCCAAAGUGAAGAGCUCCGACCUGCUCGGGAAGACAGCGCGCGAGUUCCUCAGCCCCUCUCUGGCGGCUACGGCUCCACGAUAAAUACGCCUGACGCCUGCCGUGCCGGGCGAAGUCGGCAACGACGCACUACGCGCUGGGAGAAACAGUAAAUGCCAGGUAAUCCAGAAAAAAAGUAUUCGGAAGAAGGGGAAAAGGAAAAAAAGAGCCCGCCACAGAUGUUUUUCUUAGCUGCUUCACAAAACAGGAACCGACUAGCUGAGAAGAAAGGCCGUCUCCCCCAGGAAAGGAGUACAAAGCCAGGUCUGUACACAGCAGAUGCAGGCGACGGUCCAUCUGCUACCAGCUCACAGCACCACAUGGAGCUGGAAGAUUUAACGCCGCGCCUGGCCGGCCUGCGUCUCUGUCGACAUCGGCGGAGUGGAGGGAGGGAGCUCCCGAACUUCAAAGGGGUAACAGUCAGACACUCAACUUAGUGUUUCUGCUCGGGCUUAAGCGAGAGUCUGGGAACAAGGUGUCCGACUCCACCGACUGUAGGGUAAGCGCAUCCCGAUUUUCCACACCUCAUCUCCAUGCCCCUGCAUUUAAGGAGCAUCUUCACCAAAUGUUCACUAAUGGGCGGCGUUUUGGUUCACCUGACUCGUCAACCGCAAGAAGACUGCAAACCCAAUUCCUGAUUGAUGGUGCCCAACUAUAUAUUGAUCAACGCCCGGACACAUCCAGCCAAUAACGGAUGACGGCGACAGAUCGAUGGAGCAGUAUGAACCACGCAACGUUUCCAUGCGCUAAACAUUUUGUCAUUGUAAAAUCCACAGCUGUAAAUAUUUAUUACAGUCCGGGAACAUCAAGAGUCAACAAGACCAGCGUCCUUGACUGCUGCUAACGUCGCACACUUUCAUAACAUUAAGGAACGGGCGGGGACCGCACUCUCCGUUAACGACCGAGGGUGAAAAGACAAAACAGGCAUAAUAGAGGUGAAAGCAGAGCAUGGGCAGGCAGCAGUGAGGGGCACACUCGUCCAUCCCUUCUGCUAAUUUCUCUACCUCUAUUUUCCUGCAGGGCUCUGGACAGCCAAUGUCAAUGAGGUCAGACAAUACCACCAGAGCCUUUUUGUCAAGGCAAAAAAAAAAAAAAAAGUAAAAAGG